rnacentral:rRNA from 1 species
CCUACGGGAGGCAGCAGUGGGGAAUAUUGCACAAUGGGGGAAACCCUGAUGCAGCGACGCCGCGUGAAGGAAGAAGUAUUUCGGUAUGUAAACUUCUAUCAGCAGGGAAGAAAAUGCAGGUACCUGACUCAGAAGCCCCGGUUAACUACGUGCCAGCAGCCGCGGUAAUACGUAGGGGGCAAGCGUUAUCCGGAUUUACUGGGUGUAAUGGGAGCGUAGGCGGUUUAGCAAGUCAGAAGUGAAAGCCCGGGGCGCAACUCCGGGACUGCUUUUGAAACUGUUGAACUAGAUUGCAGGAGAGGUAAGUGGAAUGCGUAGUGUAGCGGUGAAAUGCAUAGAUAUCGCGCAGAACUCCGAUUGCGAAGGCAGCAUACCGGCGCCCGACUGACGCUGAGGCACGAAAGCGUGGGGAUCGAACAGGAUUAGAUACCCCUGUAGUC